UUUUUUUUUAUUUUAUUUUGUUUUGUUUUGCUUUGUUUUGUUUUGGGGGUAAAUACCCAGUAGUACAAUUGCUGGGUCACAGGGUAGCUCUAUUUUUAACUUUCUGAUGAACCCCCAUACUGUUUUUCAGAGUGGCUGCAUUAAUUUGUGUCCCCACCAAGUGUCACAGGGUUCCUUUUUUUUUUCCCCACAUCCUCCAUAACAUUUUGCUGUUUCUUGCGUUUUUGAGUUUAGCUAUUUUGACAGGUGUGAGGUUGGAGAGCUCACAGUAGUUUUGAUUGGCAUUCCUCUGAUGAUUAGUGAUGAUGAACAUCUUUUCACGUCUCUGUUCACCAUCUGUUUGUUUUCUUUGGAUAAAUGUCUGUUUGUGUCAAUUUUUUAAUUGGAUUGUUUUUUGGGCGUUGAGAUUUUUAAGUUCUUUAUAUAUUUUGGAUACUCUUUAUCAGAUAUAUCAUUUGCAAAUAUCUUCUCCCAUUCAGCAGGCCGUCUUUUAGUUUGUUGUUUCCUUUGCUGUGCACAAACUUAUCUUGAGGGACACCUGGGGGGCUCAGUGGUUGAGCAUCUGCCUUCGGCUCAGGGUGCAAUCCCAGGGUCCUGGGAUCGAGUCCCAUAUCAGGCUCCCUGCAUGAAGCCUCCUUCUCCCUCUGCCUGUGUCUCUGCCUCUGUCUCUCAUCUCUUGUGAAUAAAUAAAUAAAAAUAUUUUUUUUAAAAAAGAAAUUUAUCUUGAGGUAAUCCCAAUAGCUUAUUUUUGCUUUUAUUCCCCUUGCCUCAGGAGACAUAUCUAGAAAAAUGUUGCUAUAUAGAGAAAUUACUGCUUGUGCUGUCUUCUAGGACUUUUAUGGCUUCAGGUCUCACAUUUAGGUCUUUGUUUUUAGGUCUUUAAUCCAUUUUGAAUUUAUUUUUCUGUAUGACAUAAGAAGGUGGUCCAGUUUCCCAACACCAUUCAUUGAAGAGACUAUAUUUUUCCCAUUAUAUGUUCUUUCUCUACUUUGUCAAAGAUUGUCAAAGAUUGACCAUAUAUGUGGGUAUAUUUCUGGGUUUUCUAUUCUGUUCCAUUGAUCUAUAUGUCUAUUUUUGUGCCAAUACCAUACUGUUUGAUUAUAUCAGUUGUGUAAUAUAACUUUGAUUCAGGAAUUAUCAUACCUUCAUUUUUGUUUUUCAAGAUUGCUUUGGCCAUUUGGAGUCUUUUGUGAUUCUGUACAAAUUUUAGGAUUUUUGUCCUAGAUCUGUCAAAAAUGUUGUCGGUAUUUUGAUAGGGAUUCAUUAAACCUGUAGACUGCAUGAACAAGGACUGUCUUUCCAUUGCUUCAUGCAUUCUUCAAUUUCUUUCAUUAGUGUCUUAUAGUUUUCACAGUAGAGGUCUUUCACCUCUUUGGUUAGGUUUUUCCCUAGAUAUCUUACUAUUUUUAGUGCAAUUAUAAAUGAGAUUAUUAUUUCUACUGCUUCAUUAUUAGUGUAUAGAAAUAAAACAGAUUUCUAUAUAUUGAUUUUGUAUCCUACAACUUCACUGAAUUCAUUUAUCUGUUAUACCAGUUAUUUUGAUGGCAAUUUUAUGGUUUUUGUUUUUUUUUCACUUAUUCCUUACCAUUUUAUAUGUUUUUCAUUUGUUUUCUUGUCAUCUAAUUGCUGGGGCUAGGACUUCCAGUGCUGUGUUGAAAUAGAAGUGGUGAGAGUGGACCACCUUAUGUUGUUCCUGACCUUAGGAGAAAAGUGCUCAGUUUUUUGUUUUUUGUUUUUUUUUUUUCCACUGAGUAUGAUGUUAACUGUGGAUUUCCCAUAUAAAGCCUUUAUUAUGUUAAGGUAUCUAUUCUCUAAACCUACUUUGUUGAGGGUUUUUAUUGUGAAUGGAUAUUGUACUUUGUCAAAAUGUUUCUGCAUCUAUUGAAAUGAUCAUAUAUUUUUUAUCCUUUCUCCUAUUGAUGUGAUGUCUCAUGUUGAUUGAUUUGCAAAUAUUGAACCACCUUCCUAUCCUGGGAGUAAAUCCCACUUGAUCAUUGUGAAUGAUUUCCUUUUCAUGGAUUGUUGGAUUCAGUUUGCUAGUAUUUUGUUGAGGAUUUUUUCAUAUAUGUUUAUCAGAGACACUGCCCUGUAGUUCUCUUUUUUAGUAAUGUCUUUAUCUGGUUUUGGUAUCAGGGUAAUGCUAGCCGCAAAGAAUAAUUUUGGAAGUUUUCCUUCCUCUUCCAUUUUAUGGAAUAGUCUGGAAAAAAUAGGUACUAACUCUUCUUUAAAUGUUUGGUAAAGGGAUACCUGGGUGGCUCCGUGGUUGAACCUCUGCCUUCGGCCCAGGGCGUGAUCCUGAAGUCCUGGGAUCGGGUCCCACAUCAGGCUCCCUGCAUGGAGCCUGCUUCUCCUUCUGCCUGUGUCUCUGCCUCUCUGUGUGUGUGUGUCUCUCAUGAAUAAAUAAAUACAAUCUUUAAAAAAAUGUUUGGUAAAAUUCCCCUGUGAAGCUGUCUGUUCUUGGACUUUUGUUUUUUUGGGAGUUUUUUGAUUACUAAUUCAAUUUCCUUACUAAUAAUCAGUAUGUUCAAAUUUUGUAUUUCCCCCAUUUCAGUUUUGCUAGGUUACACGUUUCUCAGAAUGUUUCCAUUUCUUCUAUGUUGUCCAAUUGUCAGCAUGUAAUUUUUCAUAAUAUCCUCUUAUAAUUGUUUGUAUUUCUCUGCUGUUUCUUAUUUCUCCUUUCUCAUUUAUGAUUUUUUUAGUCUUUUAUUUAUUUGGCUAGAGGUUUAUCAAUUUUGUUGAUCUAUUCAAAGAACCAGCUCCUGGUUUCAUUGAUCUAUUCUACUGGGGUUUGGUAUGUUUCUUUUGGUUGUUUGUUUUGUUGUUGUUCAGUUACUAUACCAUUUGUUUCUGACUUGUAAUCCCUUUUUCAAAUCAGUAACAAAUUACUAAUUCUGCAGUUUCUCUAAGGCACACCACAUAAAUUGGCAAAAAAAAAAAA
rnacentral:lncRNA from 1 species